UAGUUGGCAGGGUAAAGGCCUACCAAGGCGAUGAUGGUUAGCUGGUCUGAGAGGAUGAUCAGCCACACUGGAACUGAAACACGGUCCAGACUCCUACGGGAGGCAGCAGUGAGGAAUUUUGCGCAAUGGGGGAAACCCUGACGCAGCAACGCCGCGUGAGUGAAGAAGGCUUUCGGGUCGUAAAGCUCUGUCAAGAGGGAAGAAGGUAAAAGAUGGUAAUACUGUUUUUUAUUGACGGUACCUCUGAAGGAAGCACCGGCUAACUCCGUGCCAGCAGCCGCGGUAAUACGGGGGGUGCAAGCGUUAUUCGGAUUUAUUGGGCGUAAAGAGCGCGUAGGCGGUUUAUCAAGUCAGAUGUGAAAGCCCUGGGCUCAACCUGGGAAGUGCAUUUGAAACUAGUAGACUUGAGUAUGGGAGAGGGGAGUGGAAUUCCUGGUGUAGAGGUGAAAUUCGUAGAUAUCAGGAGGAACACCGGUGGCGAAGGCGACUUCCUGGACCAAUACUGACGCUGAGGCGCGAAGGCGUGGGGAGCAAACAGGAUUAGAUACCCUGGUAGUCCACGCGGUAAAC
rnacentral:rRNA from 1 species